AAGUCGUAACAAGGUUUCCGUAGGCGAACCUGCGGAAGGAUCAUUAGCGAAUAACGUGGUUGUCUUCGCUUCGGCAAGGCAUCCGCACCCUCACAUCCAUAACACCUGUGAACCGUAAGAUGUGGUGACUCGUUGCCCAUCUGCCCCUUUAUCAAACAUCAGUAGUAAUAAAAGUAGUUAUAUUAUAAUCUAAUAAAA
rnacentral:misc_RNA from 1 species